GAUGAACGCUGGCGGCGUGCCUAAUACAUGCAAGUCGAGCGAAUGGAUUAAGAGCUUGCUCUAGCGGAUUAGUGGCGAACGGGUGAGUAACACGUGAGCAAUCUGCCCUUGACUCUGGGAUAACUGCGGGAAACUGUAGCUAAUACCGGAUACUUUCACCGGGGGGCAUCCUCUGGUGAUGAAAGAAUUUCGGUCAAGGAUGAGCUCGCGGCCUAUCAGCUUGUUGGUGAGGUAACGGCUCACCAAGGCGACGACGGGUAACCGGCCUGAGAGGGUGACCGGUCACACUGGGACUGAGACACGGCCCAGACUCCUACGGGAGGCAGCAGUGGGGAAUAUUGCACAGUGGGCGCAAGCCUGAUGCAGCAACGCCGCGUGAGGGAUGACGGCCUUCGGGUUGUAAACCUCUUUUAGUAGGGAAGAAGCGAAAGUGACGGUACCUGCAGAAAAAGCACCGGCUAACUACGUGCCAGCCGCCGCAGUAA
rnacentral:rRNA from 1 species